rnacentral:rRNA from 1 species
UAAUACGGAGGAUGCGAGCGUUAUCCGGAUUCAUUGGGUUUAAAGGGUGCGUAGGCGGAAUAUUAAGUCAGGGGUGAAAGUUUGCGGCUCAACCGUAAAAUUGCCUUUGAUACUGUUAUUCUUGAGUACACACGAGGUAUGCGGAAUGUGAUAUGUAGCGGUGAAAUGCUUAGAUAUAUCACAGAACACCGAUUGCGAAGGCAGCAUACUAGAGUGUCACUGACGCUGAUGCACGAAAGCGUGGGUAUCGAACAGGAUUAGAUACCCUGGUAGUCCACGCCGUAAACGAUGAUUACUAGCUGUUUGCGAUACAUAGCAAGUGGCAAAGCGAAAGCAUUAAGUAAUCCACCUGGGGAGUACGUUGGCAACGAUG